rnacentral:piRNA from 1 species
CGAUAAGGCUGCAACAAGUGCCCACAUU